rnacentral:rRNA from 1 species
UACGAAGGGGGCUAGCGUUGUUCGGAAUUACUGGGCGUAAAGCGCACGUAGGCGGAUUGUCAAGUCAGGGGUGAAAUCCUGGAGCUCAACUCCAGAACUGCCUUUGAUACUGGCGAUCUCGAGUCCGGGAGAGGUGAGUGGAACUGCGGGUGUAGAGGUGAAAUUCGUAGAUAUUCGCAAGAACACCAGUGGCGAAGGCGGCUCACUGGCCCGGUACUGACGCUGAGGUGCGAAAGCGUGGGGAGCAAACAGG